rnacentral:lncRNA from 1 species
GAAAUGUGAUGUCUUACUGGCCCACUUGGUACAACCGCACCAGUGAAGCCCUUCAGACAUGUACUCCAGGAAAUUCUCACUGAAACUAUUGGAACUCUU